UGAUUCUCCUGCCUCAGCCUCCCAUGUAUCUGGAAUUACAGGCUCCCACCACCACAUCAAGACAGGAGAGGAAUUUCAAGGAUUAUCUUGCCUCUAUGAAGUGUAACUUUAAAGAGAAGGUGGAUGAGCUUCUAGAGAGCUACCAAGACAGUCACUACCUCAUCAUUAGUAAAAACUGUGUUUACUUCCGAUGUGUAAUAAACCCUACGCGACCAUUUGGGGGCGCCAGAGUACAGCACAGACUGGCGGAGCCCACGCCCGGGGAAUGCAACAACUGGUUCAACUGCUCCACGCUGAUUAAUAAUCAAACUACUACUGUGUGGGGCCUAUCUUCCUAUUGGACCUCAAAACCCACUUACUCCACAAGUUUAUCUUCACAAUUAUGAGCUACCCACUUCACGUCACACUCCAGCACCUAAAAGCAAAUAAUAAAGUUUAUUCUUGAGUUAACCGGCCUCUGUGUUCAGCCAAUCCCUCCUGUACGUGAGUGAUGCACCUGGAUGCUACAUAAAGACAGGCGGAAAUACCUAAGGUGUGGUCCUUACUCCCAAGGGGCUUACAGCAGCGUGAAGACUCGAAAGCAAGCACACCCACACCCACAACACAGCCGCUGGCACACACAGCAGGAGAGACACCGGGUUUAAUGGAGCAGAGAAAGUGGGCGUCAUCUCCAGGCACAGCUCCAUGAAGAUGACAUUGACCUGGGAGCUCUGAGCCUUCAUAUAAUGGUUAAGCUUUCAGCCGGAAGAAAUCCCAAGUGGAGAAAUAGGAAACUAUAAAAGAGCAGUCGUUUUGGAUUCACAAAACCUGCCUGAGUGAACCUGGAUGUACAUGCACAUAACCUAAGGAUCAGUUCUGGAGUGACCUGGGGCCUAGGAAAGCCGAAGGGCAGGAUUCAGUCAUGCAGUGAAGAGAGGGACUAAUGAAAGGCCUGAAUGACAGAGUUUCGUUCUUGCUGCCCAGGCUGGAGUGCAAUGGCGCUUUUUCUGCUC